rnacentral:rRNA from 1 species
GGGAAUGAAGAGGGAAAAGCCCAAAUUUGUAAUCUGGCUCUUUCAGAGUCCGAGUUGUAAUUUUAAGAACUGUUUUCAGUGCUGGACCAUGUACAAGUCUUCUGAAAAGAAGCAUCAUAGAAGGUGAUAAUCCUGUUCAUGAUAUGGACUACCAGUGCAAUAUGAUACAGUCUCUAAGAGUCGAGUUGUUUGGGAAUGCAGCUCAAAGUGGGUGGUAAAUUCCAUCUAAGGCUAAAUAUUGAUGAGAGACCGAUAGCAAACAAGUCCGUGAGGGAAAGAUGAAAAGAACUUUGGAAAGAGAGUUAACAGUACGUGAAAUUGUUAAAAGGGAAACAAUUGAAGUUAGACUUGUUAUUAAUAGUUCAACCUUUUUAAGGGAGUAUUCUAUUGAUUAACAGACCAACAUCAAUUUUUGGGUGUUGGAGAAGGGUUUAAGGAAAUGUAGCAGUUUCUGCUGUGUUAUAUUCCUUUUGAGCUUUGAUACAAUGCUUAAGAUUGAGGAAUG